rnacentral:tRNA from 1 species
GGUAAGGUGCCUGAAAUUAAAGGAUCACUUUGAUAGAGUGGAUAAUGUAAGUAUAUUUUACUCUUACUA